rnacentral:misc_RNA from 1 species
UUGCCUUUCAGUUUUAGAUUUUUCCAGCUUACGCUCACUAGAAGUGGGUUCUAAUUUGUUAGCACCUGGCAUUUCAACCUGUGAAGUCUUUAAUUUAGAUGUACUCCUGCCCGCGAUUCCUGAAGAAUCCGAGCCUCCAUUAUUCUGAACCACUAGCCGGUUCUCUAUUCUCCAAUUCUUUGCCCUUAGUGCUAGUUCCAGCGGCAAUUCCCUGCCCGAUCGUCACCGAACUUUCGCCGGAAGUAGAAGAAGAAGAAGACCUAUUCUCCGGCGACUCUGCCAUCGCCGCCUCCGAUGCCGGCUAACUCUAUCGGUGCUUCUGAUGCCGAUCUACGAAACCUUAGAGCGAAAGGGAAGGAUGGAAAGGGAUUUGUGUGUGUGUAUGUAGACUGUAGCGUAACUUUCCAAGUAAAGAUAGAAUGCUUCCG